CUAUUUCUUUCUCCUCCCCACCCCUGCCAAAUAAAAAAAAAACCCAAAACUUUAGUAGUAUAAUGCUGCAAUUACGAAUUUGUACAACCAAAGGAGUUACGAAAGGAAUAGCAGAUCUUCCUCACAGUGCUUCCCUCCCUCAAACAUCUACAAGCUGAACGUUGGAAAAGCUAUUCAUCUUGAGAUAGAUGAGUCUUCAGGAACUUCUCUGACUUCAUUUUAUAUUCAUAGACAAAGGAGGAGGACAAUAUUGAUUGCUGCUAGACAAAGAGUCACCACCCUAGGCAUCUGUACUGUGGCCGGACACCAAUACCUGUGUUUUCUCAGAAUCCUCAUGAAAACUCAUCAUCUCUGUCUCUCUAGCAUCAGCUAUUCUCUUCCUUCCCUUGGGCCUUGAGUUCAGUUUCACAGAUACAGUUAAUCUCCUCAGCCUCUUAAAUCUGAGACCAACACAGGUCUUGCAGAGAGGUUCCCUUGUCACACAUCUAACACAGAUGAUACCAAGAAAGACGAAAAAGGGGGAAGGCUUCAUUUACUUACUGGAAGAAAGAAGAAACCAAGGUUUCUCUGGACAUCAAGUGUGUAUUUUUCUUCUGGUCUUUCUCUGCUGAUGGAAAACCUUGGUUUGUUUCUGAAGAGGGUGGAGUAAGAUGUGAUAAGCUUUGAAAAUUCCUGAAUGGCUCAAUGGCUCCUAUAGUCAAAANAAAAAAAAAAAAAAAAAAAAAAAAAAGAUGAAAAGGAUAGUGGACAAGCAACUAGUUAGAAGGGACUUUAUAUGAUGUAAAGACAGUGUUGAUCUUGCCAAAAUUCUGUCAUUCAUGAGACAUUUGUGAGAAGUGUACUGGCUCUCUGUGAUUUCCAGAAAAGCAAACACUCUGUGUGCUCA
rnacentral:lncRNA from 1 species